CGCACCAUGAAGCAGGUCCUGGCGCUGCUGGUGUUGGAGCAGCUGCCAACUAUCCUGUCCCAGGAGAUCCACAACAGCGAGCAGAAGCUGCACCCGCACAGCUUGCCAAGAAGCUAUUAAAGAUGGAAGAAAUCUGACAUGCAGUGUGAUCUCACCAUCUCCGCUGUGUCUGAGAGCCCCUGCAUAGACUGUUAGGAGGAAUAGAAUCCCCUCUCCAGUGUAACCCAGGAAAACUGUAUCGACAUAACAACAUAUCAAAUGAAAAGGAGUGACAGCGUGGCAUGAGGGAUUGCAGUUCCCCGACCGCGGAUGGAACCUGCGCCCCCUGCAGUGGAAGUGCGGAGUCUUAACCACUGGACCUCCAGGGAAGUCCCGGAAGUUAAUCAUUUUGAUCACAUUAAUUCCUUUUUAGGUAAAAGACUAAAUCCAUAUUUAAUACAGAGGGAAAAAAUUAACGUUCCUCAAACG